rnacentral:rRNA from 1 species
GAUGAACGCUGGCGGCGUGCCUAAUACAUGCAAGUCGAGCGAAUGGAUUAAGAGCUUGCUCUUAUGAAGUUAGCGGCGGACGGGUGAGUAACACGUGGGUAACCUGCCCAUAAGACUGGGAUAACUCCGGGAAACCGGGGCUAAUACCGGAUAACAUUUUGAACCGCAUGGUUCGAAAUUGAAAGGCGGCUUCGGCUGUCACUUAUGGAUGGACCCGCGUCGCAUUAGCUAGUUGGUGAGGUAACGGCUCACCAAGGCAACGAUGCGUAGCCGAACUGAGAGGGUGAGCGGCCACACUGGGACUGAGACACGGCCCAGACUCCUACGGGAGGCAGCAGUAGGGAAUCUUCCGCAAUGGACGAAAGUCUGACGGAGCAACGCCGCGUGAGUGAUGAAGGCUUUCGGGUCGUAAAACUCUGUUGUUAGGGAAGAACAAGUGCUAGUUGAAUAAGCUGGCACCUUGACGGUACCUAACCGGAAAGCCACGGCUAACUACGUGCCAGCCGCCGCCGUAA